rnacentral:lncRNA from 1 species
AGAUAAUACUUUAUUCGGCUAUAAGCCCACAAGGUAAAACAAAUCAAUAGAUAAAAAUCAAUAGAUAAAAUCAAUAGCAUUUUACAAUCUAAAAUAUCAACUAAAAUAUUUCAACGCAUAAUCUCUAAAUGUACCGUGUUAUGGCCUUGAAGAUAAAGAUGGUGCAUAGAGUUUACUGAAUUUUUAAUAGUCAUGCAGCAUUCCCUGAAGUCUUUUAUAUGACAGAACUGAGAUCAGGAAUCUAGCAACCUGUAAAGUUCUAUAAGAGUCAAUGUCCUGGAGUAGAUAAGCUAGAUGUAAUUCAGGUGGUUUAGCAGCAAUUUCCAGGAUGAUUGAACUCAGGAUCCUUGAUCGGGGAACAUUGUAUAAGGGGCAAUUAAACAAGAUAUGAUAAAGGGAUUCUAUCGAUUUGUUGUCACAUGCGCACAAAACAGAGAUUUUACCGUUAGAAAAUCUAUUGCUCAGCACAUUUGAGGGGAACACAUUAAAUCUGGCUCUAACAAAUGCGAAUCUAUGCGACGCAGCCGAUAAAGUAGACAGAUAUCGAGGUAUCUGGGACAUAGAUGUAAUGCCCUGAUAUAUCGGGGAACAUGUACCUCCACCUGUGGUAAGAUUUUGUUGUAAAUCUACAUCCUCCAAUCUUUGUUUGAUGACCUUUUUAGCUGUAAUUAGAUCUAAAUUAAGUAUAUCGGAGGGAGAGAUUCCAUAAGACAACAGUUUGGAAUGGAUUUUUGUUGCCCAUGGGCUGGUGAAUUCAUCUCUCCAAAGGCACUGAAUAAGAUGGUAGUUUGGCAAUUUAUGCCAAAGGGACAGCCAAUAAUUAAAGGCAUGUCUCCACAUCAGAAUCUCAAGGGAGGGGGUCUUAAGUUCUAAGCGAAUGGCAGAGUUGCUUACACAGGAGGGUAGUUUCAAAAGGCGUCUUAGAAAAAGAUUUUGCAAUGUCACCAGAGGCAAGAGGUUUACAAAGACGCCCCAUAAAGGGACCGCAUAGGCCAUAGUUGCAACCACUUUUGCACUAUAAACUUUUAAGGCGGAUGGAACAUGCAUAGCCCCCUCAGUAAAGAAGAAGCGUAGUAUAGCGUAGAUAAGGGCUUUCACCUUGUUUUGUAAAUAUGUGAUAUGCGCUUUCCAUCCCAUAUUAUACUGGAAGUAAAUUCCUAGAUAUUGAAAUUUGUAAACUUGUUCAAUUGGCUUCCCCUCAAGUUCCCAUCUAUACAGUUUACGACUCCUGGAAAAAAUUAGGACUUUAGAUUUGGAAUGGUUAAUAGUAAGUAAAUUUGUUUGGCAAUAUGAUGCAAAAAUCUUAAGGGCCCUCCUCAAACCGAUUCGAGAAUAAGAGAGGAUCACCGCAUCGUCAGCGUACAAUAAUAAGGGGCAGCGAUAGUCUGCAAGCCUGGGUGCAUGAAUGGAGGUUUGGGCCUCAGCUAGGGGCGUCCUCAUGUCACUAAUAUAGAGGUUAAAAAGAUAGGGGCAAGGAUACACCCUUGUCGUACCCCCUUGUUUAUUGGAACUGAGUUUGUUAGAUCGCCCUCAGGUGUUAACCUCACCCUAGCAGCCGUCCCUUCAUGUAAUUUAAUCAAUAGCCACAACAGCCUUUUUCUAUGCCCCACUUUGCCAGUUUUUCCCAUAACAGCUCUCUAGAGAUACUGUCAAAAGCCGCCUUCAGGUCUAUAAAAGCGGCACAUAGAAGACCAUGAGUAGGGGAAGAAUAUUUCCGCGCCAAAUGAUAUAGAAUUAUAGCAUGGUCAAUAGAAGCGCGAUUUGGUCUAAACCCGACCUGUUCAUGGCCUAUCAGAUUGGAAUCUUCGGCCCAUUGGGUUAGUCUGGUUAGCAAGAAGCGAGUGUAGAUUUUUCCGAUGAUUGAUAAUAAACUGAUAUUACGAUAGUUUCCUGGGUCCUCUGGUGGUCCUUUUUUAUAUAUAGGAAUUAUGAUGGACUCCUUCCAUGAUGUAGGUAUC